AUCUGCCAGGUGGAGAGAGCAGAGGAGCAAAGAGAAAUCAGAACUCCUGGAAGCUGCCGGCCCUCAGGGCCCUGGAGCAGUGCUGCUCACUCGAAUACCCUGGGGCCUGGGCAAAGGGCAGAUUCCUGCUCAAAACUGCUCAAAAUGUCAGGGUGGGACCUGAGGUUCUGCAUUUCUGACAAGCUCCCAGGUGAUGGUGGUGUGCCUGGGGGAACCACAUUCUGCCAUCUACUAUCCAAGAGCAGGGCUUUGCACACUUUAAUGGGCAUGAAUCAUCUGGGGACCUCCUUAUUACAAUUCUUCAGGCCUAGUGGCGGCCUGAGAGUCUGCAUUCCUAGCAAGCUCCCAGUUGAUGCUGCUGGUCUGUGGUCCUAGAUCUUCUCCAGAGAUGGCCUGAUUUAAUUAGGCCCUAAGAGUAAUGUUUCCACUCCCUCAUCAGAGCUGUCUGAAGUGGACUGUCUCUCUAGGAAAGAGUCUGCCUGUGUUUUGCUGUCCUUAGACUCUAGAGCAAAACUCAGGUCCAUCUUCGAUGCUCUGGCUGGUGUACAGGAGCCAUGGGGGAAACUGAGACUCUGGGAAGAGCCUCCUGAGCUGUCACCCUGUCAGUCAGCAUAGAAUAAGAGCUGGUGAGCUCACCCUGUCAAUCAGUGUAGAAUGCAGCACCAAGCUCAGGCCCCAGGCGUCCUGUCUGCCAGCCCUUCUGUCGGUAUCCACAGCUGAACAAGGGGCUGGAGCAUCUGGUCCAAAGCAGACACAGGCCUGGGAGGAUCACCCUGCACACCGCCUUCUCACUUCUCCCACUUCCAGAAUGCAGAGGAGCUUUAUUCUCCCUCCUUGCUCUUCAUGGGCCCUCCUCUGCCUUCUUCCUCCUCUUCCUCUCCUCCCUCCCACCCAAGGAUGCAUUGAGGGUAAUGUGAUUAUGAUCCUGAUAAUGAUGAUGACAUGUUGUUGGAUCUUGGCUCUCUGCACACAGGAGGGGGCACUGGGCUAAAGCAGCCCCAUGACUGUCCCGUGAUACCUGGGGUGAAGGUGGCUCUCCUAAGUAUUGAAACAGUGUCCUGACUUUCCUAGCAGCUGCUGCUGCCCUGACCUUGCCGGUGCAAACCUGGAUGCAGGUGGAGCUCUAUCCAGUGGGAGGAGAGCAGGCUGGUGGAGAUGCGUGUGUCCUGUACUGUCUCUGACAGCUAGCUGGGGGAGGUAGUGUGGAAGGGGCCCAUCCUCUUCCCCUCCUUCCUCCUCUCCAUCCCUCCCAACCUGGAGGACAGCGUGGAGUGUGAACACUGCUUUCAGCCUGCAGACUUGGUGUUAAUCCACCUGGGGCCUCAGGCUGAAAGGCGGCUUAGGAGGUUAUCUCAUCUCCCGCUAGCUUUACGCAGGCGGCCGUCAUGCCGUUCCACCCAUGCAGGUUUCCCUACCUCAUGGUUUGAUGAUUUUCCUGUGGGAUUUUCUGGAUCUUAUCUGUGCUAAGAGGGAGGCCAGAAGGGAGCUGUUUGACCGGCACAGGUUUGUGCUGGAAACCAUGUCUGCAUCGCCUGCAAUGUACGUCUCCUGCUGGGGGAGGACUGGAGGGGCCACACUCCCCAGCAGACAGGCUCCUGCGUGAGCUGGGUGUUCCCAGCGAGCCUCCCAGGACAGGCACAGUAAGGGGCAGAGGUGUGUGGGCCAGACCCUCAUCACUGCGUCCACAUGCACACACACACACUUGCACACACACACACACGUGAACACCACGCUGAAGCAUGUGGAGGGUACAGGAUGCCACCCAGUCUGGUUCCUGAAUAGGCAUUGCCAUCUCCCUCCUGACAGAGGACACUGAGAAACCAGCACGGAUGGCUCCAGCAGCCAACAGGGGGCACACAGAGACAACACAAGGCCAGCUAACCGCAGGUGCUGGAGGUGGCAGAUGGGGUUGGGCCCGGCUUGGAGGCCCAGCCACAUGGUGCCUGGUGCUAUCUUCUGGCAGCUGCCUGUGUGUGACACUUGGCCACACAUGGGACAUUUUUAACAGGGAGGCCGUCCUGCCUUCAGCUUCCUCUGAGGCUUCUGAGUCAGCACCUGGCUGUCAGCAGAGAGCAUGAAGGAAGGGCCACAGAGCUUCUGAGAAGUCAUUCCAAAAUGAUUGGUUUCCCUUUUAAUGACCUGCAGAUCCCAGUCUUGACUGUCUUGUGUUUUCCAUGUUCUGAGACAUGUUACCAUCUUGCAAGCUGAGCAUGUUGGAGGUGGGCUAGGUUCUACUUGAGGCUGCACCAGUGGCCUGUGUGAUCUUGGGUAAAGUUACCUCCCUCUCUGAGCCUCAAAUCCCCCUCUGCCAAUAGGAAAACAUCCGGUCUGUACACUGGUCUAGGGUCUUCCUUGGCAAGAUUCUUUAAAAACUAGAAUAACAAGAACCAACAGCACAGCACCCAGUCCUUCCAACACCCCAAUCCUUUGAGAGGCCAGGCAGGAUAAAGACCCCCGCUCCCCACCUGCAAGCCAGGGCUUUGCACACGCUAUUCCCUCACCCUGGCUCUUUCCCCUCUGUCAUUGCCUAUCGGGCUCCUUCAGGACUUAAUGAGAUAUCACUUCCUCCAGGAAGCCUUCCCUGACCUCCCGUGACUGGUUAGGGCCACUGAUGUUUGCUUCUUAAACCCAAGGACUCCUGCUAACACAGCACCUAGCACUGCACUGUGACUGCCAUACACUUACCUGUCCCCUUCCUUCAAGUAAAAUCUCCCUGGGAGAAGGGACGGCACUCUGCCUGCAAUGUGGCCCUGGCACUGGGCACAGCACCUGGCACACAGCAGCUCUGUUCCAAAGUAAACACAGCCUCCUCUGCCGGCCCCCUGGGCGGAGGCUCCCAGGACGCUGAUGUGAGGAGGGCUGCAGGAAAAGGGCUGGGCUACUGUGACAUUUUUAGUGAAAUGUUCCCCAGCCAGAAUAUUCUAGAAAUUAGCUUCUAAAGUUACCUCAAAGUGGAGUGCCUCCAGAUUCCACCCACAAGAGGGGAAGCUGGUGCAGAGGAAGCAGGCCUGUGAGCUGGAGGCCUGGCCAGCUCUGCCACAGCGGCUGUGUCACCUUCAGCAGGUGACUUUCUGGUGAGGCUUGAUGUCUUCAGAUGUGCAUGAAUAAGAUGAGCCCGGGGACUCUGAACCCCGAAUGUAUGUUUGACCCAGCUGGGAGGCUUAAAAAUACCCGUGCACAGACCUCAGCCCACUCCAGACAAUCCAAGCCAGUCUGUGGAGGGGGUGCCAGAGCAAUGUGUGUGUGGUUUUUUUUUUGUUUUGUUUUUUAGAUGGAGUCUUGCUUUGUCGCCCAGGGUUGAAGUGUAGUGGCACAAUCUUGGCUCACUGUAACCUCCACCUCCCGGGUUCAAGCAAUUCUCCUGCCUCAGCCUCCCGAGUAGCUGGGAUUACAGGCGCGUACCACCACGCCCAGCUAAUUUUUUGUAUUUUUAGUACAGACAGGGUUUCACCUUGUUAGCCAGGCUGGACUCAAUCUCCUGACCUUGUGAUCCCCCUGCCUCCGCCUCCCAAGUGCUGGGAUUACAGGCGUGAGCCACUGCACCUGGCCACAAUGGUAUUUAAACAACUCUACUCUAGCAUGCAGCCAGGGCCGGUGGCUCUGGUCCAGGUAGUCUGUAAGGCCUUUCCAGGUGGAAGAGUCUGAUCGGGUGGUACCUCAGCACUGUGAUGAUCCUGUCCAGGUCUGAAACUGCCUCUGGUGUGCUGUUCCAUGACUGAGGUGGGUGAGAAGCCUGGGGGGCCCCUGCUGAGGGGAUAGGUGCACUCCCGGAAUGCAGAACUUCAGCAUGGAGGGGCCUCUGCCGAUCAAGUGCAGGGGAUUCUCCCUUCAGCAUCCCUGCCGGCCCCCAGCCUCUGCCCCAGCCUGCAGCCGCAGGGAGUUUAGUACUCUGCAAGGGCCACUGUUUAGCAAUUCAAAUUGUUAAAAAGUUCUUGAAUGUGUCUCCUGAAAAUAAUUCCACCUACUGUUCCCCUUCUGUCCUCUGGAACCUCCCAGGAACAGUCCCUCCUUUCCCCACAUGACUGCCUUGGGCAUUUCAAGACCACGAGGGUGCUGCAUCUGCUCCCCAUCUCCUGACCUCUCUCACAUCUGACUUCUGGGCCCCACACUCCCCUUGCCACUCCCUCUGCAUCUGGCCGCAUAGUGGCAUCACUAGAGAGCUUCACGAAUACACUGAUGCCCAGGUGCCAGCCCCAGACCAUUUUGUUUCAUUUUGCUGCGGGGAGCCCAGGCCUGGGGUAUUUUUUUUUUCUUUGAGACGGAGUCUCACUCUGUCGCCCUGGAGUGCAGUGGCAUGAUCUAGGCUCACUGCAACCUCCGCCUCCUGGGUUCAAGCGUUUCUCCCGCCUUAGCCUUCUGAGUAGCUGGGAUUACAGGCGCGCGCCUCCAUGCCCAGCUAAUUUUUGUAUUUUUAGUAGAGACGGGGUUUCACCAUGUUGGCCAGAAUGGUCUUGAUCUCUUAAGUUCAUGAUCCACCUGACUCGGCCUCCCAAAGUGCUGGGAUUACAGGCCUGGGGUAGUUUUAAAGCUUGUCAGGUGAUCCCACUGUGCAGCCAAGGUUGAGGACCACUGCCCUGGGGCUCUGCGGAGGUCUGGUCCCACCUGGAGGGUGGCCUGAGCUGGCACCUCCCACACCCUGACUCUCUCCAUGAUUUCUACCAGUGCAGUUCCAGGCCACAUCUUUGUGGGCAGCACCCUAUCAUGUAACUCAGGCAGAUGCCCUCUCUCUGUUACAGGCUUAAGUGCAAAACAAAACAAAGCUCAAGUGCAAGGACUUUAACUCUAUUAAAGGUUUUACCCUUCGUUUCAGCACAUCUUCAUAUCCAACGAGCUCUUUUUUCAAUGCUGGCUUUAUCAUACAACAGACCAGAAAUGCUAGGUAAAUAGUUUAGCAUGCUUCCUGGGUCUUCGUUGAGAUCACCAAGAAAAAUGAAGAGACAGGUCUGAGGCUGAAGGCCACGGCCCGCUCCUGGAGACUUUUCGCUAAGCUGAUGUGAACUCUCAUCUCUCUCUCACAGCGUGGCCAUCCAGCCUGCCCUGAUUUCUCCUGAGCAUACAAGUGCCUGGUCCACACGUCCACAAGGUAACAAGGAAUGCAUUGCCAAAUACCUGGCUGAAAUCAAGGACACUGACAGAGGAUGCAGGAGGAGGAAACGUCACUUACCCUCUGGUAAUACACAUGGGCCAGGACUCCCGCCACCAGCUCAACCAGGAAGAUGACGAGCAACAGGCAGAAAUACUAGCAGCAAAGAGAGAGGACGGUCACCACUGGGAUCGGGUUGCUGCUAUGACAAAUGUUUCCCCACAGUGGUGGGGGUGGUAGAGAUACCUGCUGGGACCCCUAUCAUCCAUGCCAUCUUCCUCCUGGAUGUACCAGCCUCACUGGCUGCUGGCACCAAGUUCCCCACUUACUCCUUCCCUCUUUGGUCUGCUGACAAUUCAGUACGGCAUGUACCCAUCCAAUAUGUAUUAAAUACAUGCCAUAUGCCAGA